UUGCAGGGGGUAGGAGAUGGAAGUGGACGAGCAAGUACUGGACUAAUACUAGGUUGGUGUAAAAAUCAUUUCACAAAGUUGCACGAAGAAAUAGAUAAUAGAUGGAUUUAUUCUUUCACCUAUCAUUUCCCCUAUUACCACCACUCAUGAGAAUCUUGGACCGGAUAAAGGUAAAGUUAUACAAUUUGCUAAUGUUGUUAAUAACUCUAAAGCUUGCAGGAGAAGUGAGAAAAUUCUGAGCAUACUUUGGGCAGAUGAUUUGGACACUGAUCAGGCAUCUGAUAGCAC
rnacentral:lncRNA from 1 species